UGGGGAAUUUUGGACAAUGGGGGAAACCCUGAUCCAGCCAUCCCGCGUGUGCGAUGAAGGCCUUCGGGUUGUAAAGCACUUUUGGCAGGAAAGAAACGUCAUGGGUUAAUACCCCGUGAAACUGACGGUACCUGCAGAAUAAGCACCGGCUAACUACGUGCCAGCAGCCGCGGUAAUACGUAGGGUGCAAGCGUUAAUCGGAAUUACUGGGCGUAAAGCGUGCGUAGGCGGUUCGGAAAGAAAGAUGUGAAAUCCCAGAGCUCAACUUUGGAACUGCAUUUUUAACUACCGGGCUAGAGUGUGUCAGAGGGAGGUGGAAUUCCGCGUGUAGCAGUGAAAUGCGUAGAUAUGCGGAGGAACACCGAUGGCGAAGGCAGCCUCCUGGGAUAACACUGACGCUCAUGCACGAAAGCGUGGGGAGCAAACAGG
rnacentral:rRNA from 1 species